rnacentral:rRNA from 1 species
UACGUAGGGUGCGAGCGUUGUCCGGAAUUAUUGGGCGUAAAGAGCUCGUAGGCGGUCUGUCGCGUCUGCUGUGAAAUCCCGAGGCUCAACCUCGGGCUUGCAGUGGGUACGGGCAGGCUAGAGUGCGGUAGGGGAGAAUGGAACUCCUGGUGUAGCGGUGGAAUGCGCAGAUAUCAGGAGGAACACCGGUGGCGAAGGCGGAUCUCUGGGCCUGUUCUGACGCUGAGGCGCGAAAGCUAGGGGAGCGAACAGG